rnacentral:rRNA from 1 species
AUUGAACGCUGGCGGCAGGCCUAACACAUGCAAGUCGAGCGGAUGAAGGGAGCUUGCUCCUGGAUUCAGCGGCGGACGGGUGAGUAAUGCCUAGGAAUCUGCCUGGUAGUGGGGGAUAACGUCCGGAAACGGGCGCUAAUACCGCAUACGUCCUGAGGGAGAAAGUGGGGGAUCUUCGGACCUCACGCUAUCAGAUGAGCCUAGGUCGGAUUAGCUAGUUGGUGGGGUAAAGGCCUACCAAGGCGACGAUCCGUAACUGGUCUGAGAGGAUGAUCAGUCACAUGGGGAAUGAGACAAGGUCGGGAGUCAUACGGGAGGACGCAGUGGGGAGUAUUGGAGAAUGUGCGAAAGUCUGAUCCAGCCAUGGGGCGUGUGGGAAGAAGGUCUUCGGAUUGUUAAGUACUUUAAGUUGGGAGGAAGGGCAGGAAGUUAAUACCUUGCUGUUUGGACGUGACCAACAGGAUAGACACCGGCUAACUUCGUG